GUCUCCUACGGGGCGCAGCAGUGGGGAAUAUUGGGCAAUGGGCGCAAGCCUGACCCAGCAACGCCGCGUGAAGGAAGAAGGCUUUCGGGUUGUAAACUUCUUUUAAGAGGGAAGAGCAGAAGACGGUACCUCUUGAAUAAGCCACGGCUAACUACGUGCCAGCAGCCGCGGUAAUACGUAGGUGGCAAGCGUUGUCCGGAUUUACUGGGUGUAAAGGGCGUGCAGCCGGGCUGACAAGUCAGAUGUGAAAUCCCGCGGCUCUACCGCGGAACUGCAUUUGAAACUGUUAGUCUUGAGUACCGGAG
rnacentral:rRNA from 1 species